rnacentral:rRNA from 1 species
AAUCAACGCUGGCGGCGUGCCUCAGACAUGCAAGUCGAACGCGAAAGUUUCCUUCGGGAAGCGAGUAGAGCGGCGUCCGGGUGAGUAACACGUAGGUAAUCUACCUUUGGGUGGGGAAUAACAACCGGAAACGGUUGCUAAUACCGCAUAAUGCAGCGGCACCACAUGGUGACAGUUGUUAAAGCGGGGGAUCGCAAGACCUCGCGCCUAAAGAGGAGCCUGCGGCGGAUUAGCUAGUGGUAAGGUAACGGCUUACCAAGGCAACGAUCCGUAGCCGGCCUGAGAGGGCGGUCGGCCACACUGACACUGAAAUACGGGUCAGACUCCUACGGGAGGCAGCAGUCGGGAAUUUUGGGCAAUGGGCGAAAGCCUGACCCAGCAACGCCGCGUGAAGGAUGAAACCCCUCGGGAUGUAAACUUCG